rnacentral:rRNA from 1 species
UUAGCUUACUGGAGGUAGAGCACUAUUUGGUCUAGGGGCCCUUCAAGGGUUACCAAAAUCAGAUAAACUCCGAAUGCCAGCUAAGUAUGUGCAGGAGUCAGACGGUGAGUGAUAAGAUCCAUCGUCAAAAGGGGAACAGCCCAGAUCACCAGUUAAGGUCCCUAAAUAUAUGCUAAGUGGAAAACGUUGUGAAGGUGCAUAGACAACUAGGAGGUUGGCUCAGAAGCAGCCACCCUUUAAAGAGUGCGUAAUAGCUCACUAGUCGAGUGCUCUUGCGCGGAUAAUGUACCGGGGCUAAGCAUAUAU